rnacentral:lncRNA from 1 species
UCAGUUUAUUGAAUCAAAGUGCGCAAAAAAAUUGACUAAGGUAAGAACAGACAUGCCGCAUGUCAAAAAAUUUUCGAUUCAUACAGACAGAGCCUAUUCUAUACACGCACAGCGUCAUAACACAAAGUAACCAAAUAUUACAACACAUAACACAUUCAUAUGAACACAACAUACAGACCAAUUAUACGCAAAACUUUCACCCUAUUCCCGGCCCACAAAGAAAUAAAAGACAAAAAUUAUGUCUUUCAAUUCACAUUAUUCCUCACGAAUAAAACAUUUGAAAUCUCCGUUACAUAAUUGUAUGAUACCUCAAAUGAAAUGUGAAAUUUGACAUGUCCUUCACAUGACUAAUACCUUUAAUUUUAGCAUUUUUUGUAUCCUCUAGUUUCUUAUAUACACAUAUUAUUUUUUAGAAAUUUUUUUUUUUAUAUAGAGAAGAUAAAUUAAGAACUAAUUAGAGAUGAGAGACACUCGAUCGACUCUUCAUAAUCAUGUUUUCCGAUAAAGUGCUCUCUUUUUCUUUUUCUUUUUUUUUUUGAGAGAUAGGUAGCACGCUACCUGCUUCGUUUAUUUCAUUUAGAAAUAAACUUAGCUAGAAAUAUGAAUCAACUAGGAUUCGAACUUGGGUAUCGGAUACCAACAACCAAGCUCUUUGCCACUUGCGACAUCUCUGGUAAUAGUUUCACAUCGAAUGUUAAUUAUUUGUGUUUGAGGUU